rnacentral:rRNA from 1 species
UACGUAGGGGGCAAGCGUUGUCCGGAUUUAUUGGGCGUAAAGAGCGUGUAGGCGGCCGUACAGGUCAGCUGUGAAAACUCGAGGCUCAACCUCGAGACGUCGGUUGAAACCGUACGGCUAGAGUCCGGAAGAGGAGAGUGGAAUUCCCGGUGUAGCGGUGAAAUGCGCAGAUAUCGGGAAGAACACCCGUGCGAGGCGGCUCUCUCGGAGCGGUACUGACGCUGAGGAGCGAAAGCGUGGGGAGCGAACAGG